rnacentral:misc_RNA from 1 species
CGGAAACUGGCAUCAAACACGAUAUAUCAAGCCUCGACUCGGAACAACAGCAGCAAACCACAAAAACCACCAGCAUUCAUCAACGAAAUCUAUCCUGCGUUUCGCAUCGAUGUAUUCACGGAUAAACCGCUAAUCCGCACAAAUCGUGCGCGAAUGAGCGGCAUUCGCAACAUGCAGAAAUUACUCCACACAACCGGUUGAAAACAGAAAGAAAAAAAGAAAAAGAGAGCGGGCAGCGGAAGCAAACAGAGAAGGAGG